rnacentral:rRNA from 1 species
UACGUAGGGCGCAAGCGUUGUCCGGAAUUAUUGGGCGUAAAGAGCUCGUAGGCGGCUUGUCACGUCGGUUGUGAAAGCCCGGGGCUUAACCCCGGGUCUGCAGUCGAUACGGGCAGGCUAGAGUGUGGUAGGGGAGAUCGGAAUUCUCGGUGUAGCGGUGAAAUGCGUAGAUAUCGAGAGGAACACCUGCGGCGAAGGCGGGUUGCUGGGCUGACACUGACGCUGAUGCGCGAAAGCCAGGGGAGCGAACGGG